GACGAGCGCUGGCGGCGUGCUUAACACAUGCAAGCCGAGCGGAAAGGCCUCCUUCGGGGGGUACUCGAGCGGCGAACGGGUGAGUAACACGUGAGUGAUCUGCCCCCUACUCUGGGAUAACUGCCUGAAAGGGUGGCUAAUACCGGAUGCGACCAACUGCUGCAUGGUGUGUUGGUGGAAAGGUUUUUCUGGUGGGGGAUGUGCUCGCGGCCUAUCAGCUUGUUGGUGGGGUAAUGGCCUACCAAGGCUUUGACGGGUAGCCGGCCUGAGAGGGUGACCGGCCACACUGGGACUGAGACACGGCCCAGACUCCUACGGGAGGCAGCAGUCGAGAAUUUUUCACAAUGGGCGAAAGCCUGAUGGAGCGACGCCGCGUGGGGGAUGAAUGGCUUCGGCCCGUAAACCCCUGUCAUUCGGGAUCAAUGCCGGCAACCUAACACGUUGACGGUUGAUAGUACUGAAAGAGGAAGGGACGGCUAACUCUGUGCCAGCAGCCGCGGUAAUAC
rnacentral:rRNA from 1 species